ACAUGUUAAAUAACAAAAGUAGCGGAAUGUAGUCAGGGUUGGACCGUUGUCAGGCUUGGGCCAUCUCAAUAUUUUGAAUAUUCGUACUAGUGCCAUCUGUUUGUGCGUGUCAAGGAACUUCUAUCUUUCACAAGAAACUUUCCACGUGUCUACUCAUUUCGGGAUUUUUUUUUUAUGUGAAGGAAAAGUGUUCGGAAAAGUUUCCUUAACCUGGCCAAAAGGUGUCAUUACUCAAAAUUACAACAUGUCAUCCGCAAGUUGAGCAUAAAAGUUACUUUAAAAUCCCGAAUAAUAAAAUAAAUUAACAAAAUAAUGUUAGAUUUACCUGAAUUCAAUUUUAUUCCACCACGUAACGAUAUUGUUAACGAUUUUCUGAAGAUGCCCACAAACCUUUCCAAGUAUGUACAAACUUAUUCUAAAUUGUCAUUCGUUCAGUACUUAUGGGCAUAGGUCAAAAUAUGGCCAAACCCUGACAACAUUCUCCUACAUAUUUUGUUAGUUUUUAUCAAAUCAAAUGGGAAUAGCAUAAAGAAGUGUAGUUCCCCCACCCAUCCAGCACAUCCUGCAAAUGGACACCACUCACGCAGUUGCCAAAGUGCCACAACUGCUGAGUUUUCAACUUUGGGGUGCGAUAAGAUGCAGGAGAUGGGCACCAUCUGGUGUUGACCAUUCAUCAGUUACAACAUAAAAACAGGGGGAGGAUGCAGUUUCAUUGGGGCAGCAAAAGGGGAAAGACAGGAAGAGGGAAUCCACGGCAGAUGGAAAGUGCACAAAUUGUUGCCAAGCUGUUGAAACUGUGUUCCAAUUAAAAAUGCAACAAAUUCGAGCACAAAUUGCUGCCGUGCAGCUGCAGCUGCAACUGCAACAGAAAGAGAAACAGAAACAGCAACUGCAAUUGAAAAUAUAAAGGAUGCCAAUGCAAUUAAAAAGCCUUUUCAAUUGCAUUUAACAUGAAAUUAGUUUGGAGAGCUAUAAAAACCCUGGAAAAGCUGGAAAAGUGCCUGCGGUUAUCUGUCGGUGGCUUUGUGUCAUUUUUGUACUUCAUGUGUGCAAUAUGCAUGUAAAACUUGAAACUUUUUCAUUGAAUUUAUGAUUGAAAUCGAUUGCAAACAUGCAUAUUGCCUGCGAACUUUUGAGGCCGAAAACGCUUGAUUAAAACUAUGGGGUUUCCUCUUCUGUAGUUUGCACACAGAAACUUUUGUCGAAAGUUUUGAUUUGGCAGGGAGAACAGGAACCAAAGUUGGAGCGGAGAUUUCAGCAGUAACUCCACAAAAGAUGAGGGGAACGAGAACUUUAUGCAAUUAACUCGACCACUCGCCCACUCUCCCACCCAACUGGCCAACUCUGGUGGCCUUUGGGCCAAAAGGAAGCUUAUUACAAACGACAACAAGCAAUGUAAAUGCCAACUGGCAGUGAGAAAUGGCCAAAGGCAGCAGCGCAACUUGGCCAAGACCAGAACCCGUCAACCGUGAGCAGGAAAAGCUGGCAAAACCAGGUCAAACAGAGACAACUACAGAGAUACAGACACAACUGGCAGUUGGAAAGAUUGGAGUGGUGCGAAAGUGAGGGUCAGAGGUCAGAAUGCUGCGGGCUGCGGGGCUUUGGGGCCCAACACCUGGGUCGCCGCCAGGUUCCCAGCUCUCCUAUCCAAAUCCACAGCCUGCAGGCGACAAGUAAACACAAAUGCCGACACCCAAAACACCCAGAACACUCUGAACACCCAGAACACUCAGAACACUCAGAACACCCGGAACGGAACACCCACACAAAACUGACAAGUGUUUCUGGGCGGAGAUGGAAGCGGGAGAAACUUAAAAUCUCAUUAGUUACAUUUUUGAGAGGACACGGACUUUGGCUGUCAGCUCAAAGCAGCAACAACUUUAAGUUUUUGGCGCCGUAGUUGAGUGGGAAAUCGGGAAAUCUGUGCAGCUUGGCAAACCGUUUCGGAAUUCACUUUGCCCACCUGACCGCCUUUCAUUCCUCUGCGGAACUUUAGACAGAUAAAAUCAAAUUCUUUCAAUGGUGGCAAAAGUUGGUUCUUAAAUCUAGGUAAUUCAAUAAAUGUUUAAAUUUAAAUAUAGAUAUUUGUACAGUAAAUAAAUCUAAAGGCUAACGACACUUAAAUGUACGGAAAAAUAAAUUGUUUGUGAAAUCGAUUUUAUUAUACAUUCAUACAUGAUGUUGUCUUAAUAUUAAUACUUGAAUAAAGUGUUUUUGAUAUUAUCAACGCACAAAAAAUACAAAUAUUUUUUAAUAAACUCUGAGUCUAUAAAUAA